GCUCAGCUCUGAAGAUCACCUCUUCUUCCUUGGCGCCAACAAUUUUCAGUACUCUAAAGCGACUGGACCAGUAGGUGUUCCGGGUCACCUCGCUUUGGGCCUAUUAAAAAGCCCAUUAUGGUCUGGACUGUCUUUUUUUUUUGGCAAAGGGUCUGGACUGUCAUGUUUAUAUUUUCCACAUCAAAUCAAGUCAAAUUUUCCCAAAUAAAAAGAGCAUAAUCAUUUGUUUUGUGGACUUACCAUUUGUUUCAUAAAUCCCGAAAUUGAUUUAUACACAAUCCUAACCAGUUAGAACCAGUUAGCUGCCGGUGUGC